GUUUGAGGUUGCAGAAGAUAAACAACAAGAGGCUGAUCGUGUUCUAGAAAUCUAUUUGAAGAAAAGGGUGAGCGACGUGAUGUAUCAAGCACAUGUGGAUUCUGUAAAGGUGUACUAUGCGAAACGAGAUCAGAUACUCGAUGAUACACUAGCCUGCCCAAUAGAGAUUGAGUAUGGACAAUACUUGGAUGGCUGGCUCAAGUGGUGCGAUGAUGAGGUGUGGCCUAAACUCUACCGUUAUUGGUGCUCAGAAGAAUUCAAAAGAAAACAAAAGAGAGGGCAGGCCUGUCGCUAGAGUUGUGAAGAUUCUGCUCAAAAUCGUGGAGGCUCAAGACCGUUUACAGAGACACAACAAGUUCUGAAAGCUAGGUUUGGACCAGAGAAGGCAACCCCUCUUAAUGUAUAUGUUGUGAUGAAAUUUGGCACAAAUGGUGUUGAUAGCAAUGGUAGUAUUGGUCCAAUCAGGAGCCGCAAAGUGCAAAAACGUGUGGAUGACUACAUUGCAGGUGUUAGGAGCAUUGCACAGACAGAAGAUGAGGAUGAAAAUCAUGAGGGCAUGGGAGUGGAAGAUGAAGAGCAAGGGGAAGAGCAGCAGCCGCGGCGGCUGGAGCUGGAGCAGCAGCCACAGUUGAAUGGGAAGGUGUUGUAUGAUAUGUCUGGUAGCACACCACAUGGGCGUUUUCCUAUAGGAAAUGGUGCUGUAAUAAAUUGGGAAACUAUAUGCACAUAUAGUUACUAUAGAAACUAAUUGUAACUUUGUGGUAUUCAGAAUGGCAACACACAGCUGCAGCUGUGAGGAAGUGGCCUCUUGUUGAUUCUAGCAUAUCAUCUGGACUUAACUUGCAUUAGUUCAGAUAUCAUGGUAAGGCAACUGGUUCCUCGCAUGUUGGCUCGGAGUCCGCUAACAUCAUGGAUGUUAAUGACCACAAUGGUGAGGACCUCGGCGGCACAAAUAUUGUUAACAUUCAUGGCAGCAACCAACAUAGUGAAAACAAUGCCUUGUGUGAUGAUGCAGCUUGAUAAGAGUAGAAGCAAUGCAUUGU